rnacentral:tRNA from 1 species
UGGCUCAGAUAGUAAAGAAUCUGCCUGCAAUGCAGGAGAUCCAGGUUCAAUUCCUGG